rnacentral:rRNA from 1 species
CCUACGGGAGGCAGCAGUGAGGAAUAUUGGUCAAUGGACGAGAGUCUGAACCAGCCAAGUAGCGUGAAGGAUGACUGCCCUAUGGGUUGUAAACUUCUUUUAUAUGGGAAUAAAAUGUUCCACGUGUGGGAUUUUGUAUGUACCAUAUGAAUAAGGAUCGGCUAACUCCGUGCCAGCAGCCGCGGUAAUACGGAGGAUCCGAGCGUUAUCCGGAUUUAUUGGGUUUAAAGGGAGCGUAGGUGGAUUGGUAAGUCAGUUGUGAAAGUUUGCGGCUCAACCGUAAAAUUGCAGUUGAAACUGGCAGUCUUGAGUGCAGUAGAGGUGGGCGGAAUGCGUGGUGUAGCGGUGAAAUGCUUAGAUAUCACGAAGAACUCCGAUUGCGAAGGCAGUUCACUGGACUGCAACUGACACUGAGGCUCGAAAGUGUGGGUAUCAAACAGGAUUAGAUACCCCAGUAGUC